CGUUCCUAAUUACGGGGUACCGAUAAUAGAUUAUUAAAACGCAAUUUGUAAAAAGGAAGGAGCGUGCCUAUACAUACUAAGGCGCACGUUAACAAACACUACUACUAAAUAGAGCUUUUUAAUCUAUAAAAUGAAUAUUCUGGUUGAGCUUAGCAGCAGAGAGUGGUUCAACUUCGAUGAUGCAUCCACGGGCGGUGGCUCACGCCACCCGCAGCGCCGCCUCUCAAUGUUUUACGAAAGAAUUUUCUAAGAUGCACCAAGAAGAAGAUGAAGUAAUUGGGAUUGACAAGACGGAUUUGAGUCGAGGAAGCACAUCUCGAAAGAGGUUACGAGGGCAUUGAAGAUUAUAUGUGGGUAUAGUGGUUGGUGAAUAAUUAUAAUCAUUGCAACGGCGGAGCCCAGCAUUAUGGAUAUCAUAUAACCGGAGGCAAGUCAUUUUGGCUAAUAUUAUGUUAUCAUUAUUAUAAUUUAUGAGUGAUAUUUGUAAUUAAAUAUAGUUACAAUGAUUUAUUUUCCAUUGGGAAAUUUUCGAAAGAGCUAGUUUCAUGCUCA